AAAAAGGCCCUUUUCAGGGCCAUUAUUAAAUAUUAAUAACUUCUAU
rnacentral:ncRNA from 1 species